CCUAUCUAUCCCCCUGGAACUCCAGGUAUCGGACAACAACUAUUCUAUGGUCAAGGCCCCCCUGCUAUCGUCCCUCCCCAGGUGAGAGCUGCUUAACUUGCGGGACAGUUGCUUGGACCUCCAUCCCAAAACCGCUUCUUUCUUAUGAGUUGAUUGUAUGUCACUAUGGUUGUAUUGAUUGUUCUGGCCAUUUUAUUGGCAUGACUGGACUUGGUUGAGGUUGAUGUAUAUAAUUUGAGUAGUGGAAUUGGUGAAAUUUAGGGUUUACAUAUGGGGUAGUAGCUUUUGCUAAGCAUAGAGAUCAUCUCUGUGGAUUUUAGCUUUGUGCUCUUUCCAUUAGUAUACCUUCCUUUAUGACUCAGAAGUUUGACCUCAAGACUUUUUACCCUUCCAAAAGCUUUUAGGCGUUGAUUCCUCUUACUUGAAUAAUGAUAGUAUUAAAUGUUAGAUUUACCUUUUCUUAUCAUUAGAACCAAUCAAUAUGAUAUAGUUGGCUUCCCUGUGUUCUCAUGCUUACUUUACUCUCAAUUGUUUACAGUUGAUUACUGACCCUGUUCUGUAAAUAUGACAGCCUGGGCUUGGGUAUCAGCAGCAACUGGUUCCUGGAAUGAGGCCAAAUUUUUUUGUUCCAAUGGUCCAACCAAGUCAGCAGGCUCAGCGCCCAGGUGGCCGGAGACCUGGAGCAGGGCCAGUGCAACCUCAGCAACCACUUCC
rnacentral:lncRNA from 1 species